AUGUUUGUUUCAUACAGAAACCUGCUCCGCCUAAACCGGAGCCAAAGCCCAAAAAGGCAGCACCUAAGAAAGAAAAGGCAGCAAAUGAUAAAAAGGAGGACAAAAAGGCAGCAACAAAAGGGAAGAAAGGAGCCAAAGGCAAAGAUGAAACUAAACAAGAGGAUGCUAAAGAAGAAAACCACUCUGAAAACGGAGAUACCAAAACUAAUGAGGCACCAGCUGCUGAAGCAUCUGAUGAUAAGGAAGCCAAGUCCGAGUAAUGUUAACCCUGCCCUAUAUCUCCAUCAUUUGGUAUCCGUACCUCCAUGCUGUAUUGUUAACAGAGAGGAAUAUUUUUAUCAACUAUUUUAUAAAUGCAGGUUUUUUUAGCAUGAAUUUAAUUAUGGAACAUCUUCAUCUCGGUUACUUGGGAAUUAAAUCCCUAACAAACAAAACAAAACGACAAAAAAAAAUCAUUGUUUUUAAAUUUUGUGAUUGUAAUAGUUUGUAUGGUACAUGGAAAGAAUAAGUGGUGGUAGCUUUUGACUUCUGUCAGUGUGUCCCUUUUUGUGUAAGUCAUGCUUACAGACUUCAGAUUUUAAUUUUUCCCUUGUAUGUGUUGUAUGGUUUCUUAAAGUGGGGAGGUCUCAAAACAAAUAACCGUGUUAAACAUUCCAGUGGUUCUGUGGGUUGCUUUUAUAAAGAAGGUGAGCUAUUUUCAUGAAAAACCUAAGAGCUGGAAAUCUGUUGUUUCCCAAAUGUAAUUUUAUUUUGUCAGUUUUGAAAAAUAAAUAAAUAAAAAAAAA
rnacentral:lncRNA from 1 species